GAUGAACGCUGGCGGCGUGCCUAAUACAUGCAAGUCGAGCGAACAGACGAGGAGCUUGCUCCUCUGACGUUAGCGGCGGACGGGUGAGUAACACGUGGAUAACCUACCUAUAAGACUGGGAUAACUUCGGGAAACCGGAGCUAAUACCGGAUAAUAUAUUGAACCGCAUGGUUCAAUAGUGAAAGACGGUUUUGCUGUCACUUAUAGAUGGAUCCGCGCCGCAUUAGCUAGUUGGUAAGGUAACGGCUUACCAAGGCAACGAUGCGUAGCCGACCUGAGAGGGUGAUCGGCCACACUGGAACUGAGACACGGUCCAGACUCCUACGGGAGGCAGCAGUAGGGAAUCUUCCGCAAUGGGCGAAAGCUUGACGGAGCAACGCCGCGUGAGUGAUGAAGGUCUUAGGAUCGUAAAACUCUGUUAUUAGGGAAGAACAAAUGUGUAAGUAACUAUGCACGUCUUGACGGUACCUAAUCAGAAAGCCACGGCUAACUACGU
rnacentral:rRNA from 1 species